rnacentral:tRNA from 1 species
UUCCUUCUAGUUUAAUCGGUUAAAAUUGUUGGCUGUUAACCAAUCAGAUAUUGGUUCGAAUCCAAUGGGGGACG